UCGGCGUUGGACCAUUGAUAUCUUCUAGCCAUACGUUCAAACGGAUAAAAGAAAACCUCCCAAUCUUCUUGGCCGUCAAAUGCCGCUAGCUUAGGACGCGGGACAUCUUCAAAUACAGACCGGUUAUUGGCAGAACUCCUAAAGGAUCCGCCUUGUCGAGCUGCCGGUGUUGAGCUUCCACCAUGCGCAAGUGGUGCUUGUGGAACGCUCAUUUGCUCUGCAUCAGAUGUUUGAAAUUGUCUGUUCCGUUGGACAGAUGACUGGAAAGAAUUGAUCACAGACAAUUCAGGAUUGAAUACAGAAUGCCUUGGUGUACUGCUCCUUUGUUGUGCUGCAGCAUCUCCUUUUGAAUAUACGGAGUCUUCUCUGAUCUUUUCCACCUCAGUGACCUCACUUCUGACACCAGUGUAGCGUCUAGAUGCUAUCGCGGUUCUUUGGAACCUGGCGUGGGACACGCUACUAUGGACGACAGACGACAAGCGCGUUGUGUUAGGUUGCCAUCUUUAUUUCGUCUGCUGUACACCACGUGACAUUAGUUGCGCGUAGCUGUAAGGCGUGACUAGUCGAGCAGGCAGUACUACACGAUAACACUACAAUA